rnacentral:rRNA from 1 species
GAGUUUGAUCAUGGCUCAGGAUGAACGCUGGCGGCGUGCUUAACACAUGCAAGUCGAACGAACCUUCGGGUUAGUGGCGGACGGGUGAGUAACGCGUGGGAAUCUGCCCUCAGGAGGGGGAUAACGGUUGGAAACGACCGCUAAUACCCCAUAUGCCGAGAGGUGAAAUGAAUUUCGCCUGAGGAUGAGCCCGCGUCUGAUUAGCUUGUUGGUGAGGUAAUGGCUCACCAAGGCAUCGAUCAGUAGCUGGUCUGAGAGGAUGAUCAGCCACACUGGGACUGAGACACGGCCCAGACUCCUACGGGAGGCAGCAGUGGGGAAUUUUCCGCAAUGGGCGAAAGCCUGACGGAGCAACGCCGCGUGAGGGACGAAGGCCUCUGGGCUGUAAACCUCUUUUCUCAAGGAAGAAGAUAUGACGGUACUUGAGGAAUAAGCCACGGCUAAUUCCGUGCCAGCAGCCGCGGUAAUACGGGAGUGGCAAGCGUUAUCCGGGAUUAUUGGGCGUAAAGCGUCCGCAGGCGGCCUUUCAAGUCUGCUGUUAAAACGUGGAGCUCAACUCCAUCAUGGCAGUGGAAACUGAUUGGCUUGAGUAUGGUAGGGGCAGAGGGAAUUCCCGGUGUAGCGGUGAAAUGCGUAGAUAUCGGGAAGAACACCAGUGGCGAAGGCGCUCUGCUGGGCCAUUACUGACGCUCAUGGACGAAAGCCAGGGGAGCGAAAGGGAUUAGAUACCCCUGUAGUCCUGGCCGUAAACGAUGAACACUAGGUGUCGGGGGAAUCGACCCCUUCGGUGUCGUAGCUAACGCGUUAAGUGUUCCGCCUGGGGAGUACGCACGCAAGUGUGAAACUCAAAGGAAUUGACGGGGGCCCGCACAAGCGGUGGAGUAUGUGGUUUAAUUCGGUGCAACGCGAAGAACCUUACCAGGGCUUGACAUCCUGCGAACCUUUAAGAAAUUAGAGGGUGCCUUCGGGAACGCAGUGACAGGUGGUGCAUGGCUGUCGUCAGCUCGUGUCGUGAGAUGUUGGGUUAAGUCCCGCAACGAGCGCAACCCACGUUUUUAGUUGCCAGCAUUUAGUUGGGCACUCUAGAAAGACCGCCGGUGAUAAACCGGAGGAAGGUGUGGAUGACGUCAAGUCAUCAUGCCCCUUACGUCCUGGGCUACACACGUACUACAAUGCUACGGACAAAGGGCAGCAAACUCGCGAGAGCUAGCAAAUCCCAUAAACCGUGGCUCAGUUCAGAUCGUAGGCUGCAACUCGCCUACGUGAAGUAGGAAUCGCUAGUAAUCGCAGGUCAGCAUACUGCGGUGAAUACGUUCCCGGGCCUUGUACACACCGCCCGUCACACCAUGGAAGUUGGCCACGCCCGAAGUCGUUACUUUAACCCUUGUGGAGAAGGACGCCGAAGGUGGGGCUGAUGACUGGGGUGAAGUCGUAACAAGGUAACC